rnacentral:snoRNA from 1 species
UUUUCCAAUGAUGAUUUAUUUUUUAUUUAUCACGACGGUCAACAUAAAGAAAUACCUUGAUGACCACCGCCUGUGACAGGGCAUUUAUCUGAAA